rnacentral:rRNA from 1 species
AUUGAACGCUGGCGGCAUGCCUUACACAUGCAAGUCGAACGGAGUGGCGAACGGGUGAGUAAUGUCUAGGAACGUGCCCAGUAGUGGGGGAUAACUACGGGAAACCGUCGCUAAUACCGCAUACUAUUAGGGCAGCCGAUGUCGGAUUAGCUAGGUGGUGGGGUAACGGCUAACCAAGGCGACUAUCCGUAACUGGUUCGAGAGGACGCACAGCCACACUGGAACUGGGACACGGCCCAGACUCCUAAGGGAGGCAGCAGUGGGGAAUAUUGGACAAUGGUGGAAACCCUGAUCCAGCCAUGCCGCGUGUGUGAUGAAGGUCUUCGGGUUGUAAAGCACUUUUGGUAGGGAGGCGUUACCUACAGAAUAAGCACCGGCUAACUACGUGCCAGCAGCCGCGGUAAUAC